AAAUUCUGUGGCUGAAAGAAAGUAAUGAGAUGCGUGGGUCGAUGUUUUGCAAUUCCUGAGUCACAGUCCGUGUUUAAAUACGCUGAAAUCUUACCGCAGUCUUACCGCAGAUCUACCCGAGAGAACUUGUGCAGCAACCAGCAUUACGAUGUCGGCUGUGAAAGCUGCAUUCGUCCUCAUGCUUGCGCUCACAGUCAUGGUGAGAUCGAUCUCCAGCACCAAUACCAAAAGUGCAGCGUGUUACGACAGAAGUUGCACUUACGAAGAAGACCAUCAAUGCGGACUCGGAUGCAAGUGUGUCCCUUACGGUGAACCCCCGGUUUGGAACUGCACAGUUGCAGCUCCAUGGCGACGUUAAUAGAACGAACCAUAUGAGACUUGAGAAUAGAAGUUGUUAUGAGAAUAAAAGUU
rnacentral:lncRNA from 1 species